rnacentral:lncRNA from 1 species
UAAUAUGACAUUAAAAUUUUAAAUCAAAGAUAUUGAUCUUGUUUUAUAUAGUAUAAAGAAUUUUCUAUCAAAAUUUCACGUGAUUUGGAUAUUUCUAUAUCGUUAAACUUGCAAACGGCUCAACACGGCCAUUAAAAUUAUUGAUUUUGAGUCCCAUCGAUCACUAGGCAAAUGAUAUCGAAAAAUCAUAAAAUUUAUUUUCUAAGUACUUCAAAUACUCUAGAUCAAGUUUAACGGAGCCGAUCGACGAUUCGAAAGUCGCAACAUCGAAAACGAGCUGGAAGCACAGAAGGCUCCGUGCUUCCGAUAGCAUAGUAGCCUCACUCUAUAAAUAUAUAUAUAUAUAUAGGCCAUGGCUACUAUACUAUUAUGAGUAUUGGAGCCCUCGUACUCAUAAGUUGUUUUCAAUGAUGGAGCUUCCGAAUCGACGAUCCACUCUGUUAAAUAUGAUUUAAAGUAUUUGAAAUUUCUAGAAAAUAAAUUUCGUAAAUUUUCGAAAUCAUAAUAAAGUCCAUCAAGUAGGCAUAAAAUGAACGGUCAAAAUCGAAUGACGUCCUUAAAAAGGAUGAUCGGAACUUUCAAUUCAAGAUCGGAGUUAUUGAUCUUUAUCUAUGUAGUGAAUAGAAUUUUCUAUCAAAAAUUCAACAAAUUCCGAUUCUUUUACACCGUUAAACUAGCAAGUAUCCUAUACUGGCCGUUAAAAAUUGUCAAAUUUGUGACCUCUUGAUCGUAAGGUAAAUGUGUCACGCCCCGGGGUCCCUUUUAGUUUAAAACAUAGCAGAAAAGCGUCUGAAUUUUUUUUUUUUUUUGAAAACCUCACUCCAGAGUAUGUCAGAUCCGCUACAAACACAGGGAAUCCACUGUGCACACGGACAGAGUCUCCCCUGUAUUUUCACGGCGUCGCACAAGUACAAGAAGCAAUCCAGAUACAAUCACAACCAAAUGAACAUACAAGUAACCAACAAUUAUAUAUUCAUACACCAUUCACAUCACAGGUUCAUAUUUAUAUAUUCAAUAUUUAAACAUAAAUCCACAUCUAUCAGUUAAAAUAUUUCCAACUCAGAAAAAGGUUUUGAAAUACUAAGAUACAAAAUCCACAGAAAAUCUUUUGGAAACUGUUCCCUACACGGAAACUUUUCUCUUUUAAAAAUGCUACCACGAGGAGUAGAAAACCUUUUAUUUACGAAAAUUCAGGAAUCUUCUUCUCAUUCGAAAAACCAACUGAAGUCUUGAAUAUUUUAACAUAAUGAAAUACUCAACCAUAUAAACCCACUAAGCUAUAUAUCAAAAGAAAUAAUAAGGGCAAAAGCUAAGCCGAAUAACCUGGGUCAGAAGAUCUAUCGACCGCUACGUACAUGUCUCACGUCUCGUCUCAACCCUUACCGCCCGCGAUACCUGAAAAAUAGUGGGGGAGGUGAGAACAUGUAAACAUGUCUCCCCUCCCAGUGGGUACCGCAAGCCGNNNNNNNNNNNNNNNNNNNNNNNNNNNNNNNNNNNNNNNNNNNNNNNNNNNNNNNNNNNNNNNUACUUCAAAUACUCUAGAUCAAGUUUAACGGAACCGAUCGACGAUUCGAAAGUCGCAACAUCGAAAACGACCUGAAAGCACGGAAGGCUCCGUGCUUCCAGAAGCAUAGUAGCCUCA